UACGUAGGGUGCGAGCGUUAAUCGGAAUUACUGGGCGUAAAGCGUGCGCAGGCGGUUUUGUAAGCCAGAUGUGAAAUCCCCGGGCUUAACCUGGGAAUGGCAUUUGGGACUGCAAGGCUCGAGUGCGGCAGAGGAGACUGGAAUUCCUGGUGUAGCAGUGAAAUGCGUAGAUAUCAGGAGGAACACCGAUGGCGAAGGCAGGUCUCUGGGCUGUCACUGACGCUCAUGCACGAAAGCGUGGGGAGCAAACAGG
rnacentral:rRNA from 1 species